UCCCUAGUAGUUCAGCUGGUAAAGAAUCUGCCUGCAAUGCAGGAGACCCUGGUUUGAUUCCUGGGUUGGGAA
rnacentral:tRNA from 1 species